AGAGCAGAGACAGGCUACCCUACUCCCAUGCUUCUGGGGAUUUACACUUUUGCUGAUCAGCUGGACAAGCACCAACAGCUAUAAGAAAACCAAAGAAAGGGAAGCCAUGUCCUUUCCACUAUGAAGGCUUUCAAAGGAAAGGAAAUAGGACACUGGCUGGAAUUCAGCCACAAAGCUUGAAUCCACAUGGUGACACUUUGAGAGAUCUUCAAAGUUCCUGCCCUCGGGGAAGUAGAUUCUCUAAGCAAGUCAUCUGGCAGAAGAACCCACUGGCAAAAUCUACUGAAAGAGGAUAAUGUAAAAUGACAGCUGUAAUGUUUUUGCAAAAGUUCUGAAGACAGUGCUGAGCCAACAGGAUGCAUGACCACGUAUCUGGAGCUUCUGUUUCAAGGAUGAAAAUUACACAUAAACAUUUACUAUACUUAGACUAUUUCCCAAAAUCCCACUGAGAUGAUGAUACAUAAAAACUAAUAAUCCAUAAUAGUCCAUAAACAAGAAAGGGUGCCAAUAGCCAAUUAGAAAAUUUGAAAAAUUUAUGAAAGGUGAGAAAGCAGAUGGAAUACUGUUGAUGGACAAACCAGAGGAAACUGCAACUGAAACAAGCAUGGUGAGGGUUGCUCUGGCAAUUCGAACCAUGCUUCCCAGGGAUCCUUAAGGAAUAUGGAGCUAAAGAGGAUGGGAGUACAAGCAAUCAAGG
ensembl:lncRNA